rnacentral:rRNA from 1 species
CCCCACAAUGGGACUGAAACACGGCCCAUACUCCUACGGGAGGCAGCAGCAGGGAAUAUUGCACAAUAGGCGAAAGCCUGAUGCAGCGACGCCGCGUGAGUGAAGAAGGCCUUCGGGUCGUAAAGCUCUUUUGUAGGGGACGAGGAAGGACGGUACCCUAAGAAGAAGCGUCGGCUAACUACGUGCCAGCAGCCGCGGUAAGACGUAGGACGCGAGCGUUAUCCGGAAUUACUGGGCGUAAAGGGCCAGCAGGCGGCUUGGUAAGUUGUGCGUGAAAGCCUCGUGCUCAACGCGAGGAAGCCGGACAAUACUGUCAAGCUAGAGGGCAUCAGAGGGGAGUGGAAUUCCCGGAGUAGCGGUAGAAUGCGCAGAUAUCGGGAGGAACACCGAUGGCGAAGGCAGCUCCCUGGGAUGCACCUGACGCUAAGAGGCGAAAGCUAGGGGAGCGAACAGGAUUAGAGACCCUGGUAGUCCUAGCUGUAAACGCUGGGUGCUAGGUGUGGGACGUAGAAGUUCCGUGCCGGAGCAAACGCGAUAAGCACCCCGCCUGGGAAUUACGGUCGCAAGGCUAAAACUCAAACGAAUUGACGGGGUCCCGCACAAGCAGCGGAGCGUGUGGUUCAAUUCGAUGCUACACGAAGAACCUUACCUGGGUUUGACAUGUACGUGGUACGAAGGCGAAAGCCUAAGGACCCUUCGGGGAGCGUACACAGGUGCUGCAUGGCUGUCGUCAGCUCGUGCCGUGAGGUGUCGGGUUAAGUCCCGUAACGAGCGCAACCCUUGCCCUUAGUUACAAGUGUCUAAGGGGACUGCCGGCGGGAAGCCGGAGGAAGGUGGGGAUGACGUCGAGUCAGCAUGGCCCUUAUGUCCAGGGCUACACACACGCUACAAUGGUCAGUACAAAGGGUAGCGAAGUCGCGAGGCGGAGCGAAUCUCAACAAAGCUGAUCGUAGUUCGGAUUGCAGGCUGCAACCCGCCUGCAUGAAGCUGGAGUUGCUAGUAACCGCGCGUCAGCCAUAGUGCGGUGAAUACGUACCCGGGGCUUGUACACACCGCCCGUCACGUCAUGGGAGUCGGUAACGCCUGAAGCCGGUAGUCUGGCCCGCAAGGGGGGACGCUGUCGAAGGCGGGACU